rnacentral:rRNA from 1 species
GACGAACGCUGGUGGCGUGCUUAACACAUGCAAGUCGAACGGUAAGGCCCUUCGGGGUACACGAGUGGCGAACGGGUGAGUAGCACGUGGGUGAUCUGCCCUGCACUUCGGGAUAAGCCUGGGAAACUGGGUCUAAUACCGGAUAGGACCCUGGGAUGCAUGUCCUGGGGUGGAAAGCUUUUGCGGUGUGGGAUGGGCCCGCGGCCUAUCAGCUUGUUGGUGGGGUGAUGGCCUACCAAGGCGACGACGGGUAGCCGGCCUGAGAGGGUGAGCGGCCACACUGGGACUGAGAUACGGCCCAGACUCCUACGGGAGGCAGCAGUGGGGAAUAUUGCACAAUGGGCGCAAGCCUGAUGCAGCGACGCCGCGUGAGGGAUGACGGCCUUCGGGUUGUAAACCUCUUUCAGCACCGACGAAGCGCAAGUGACGGUAGGUGCAGAAGAAGGACCGGCCAACUACGUGCCAGCCGCCGCAGUAA